rnacentral:tRNA from 1 species
CGAAGUAGCUCAACUGGUAGAGCACCUGAUUUGUAAUCAGGGGGUUGGGGGUUCAAGUCCCUUCUUCGGC